UACGGAGGGGCUAGCGUUGUUCGGAAUUACUGGGCGUAAAGCGCACGUAGGCGGCUUUGUAAGUUAGAGGUGAAAGCCCGGGGCUCAACUCGGAAUUGCCUUUAAGACUGCAUCGCUAGAAUUGUGGAGAGGUAAGUGGAAUUCCGAGUGUAGAGGUGAAAUUCGAUAGAUAUUCGGAAGUAACACCAGUGGCGAAGGCGGCUCACUGGCCCGAUAACU
rnacentral:rRNA from 1 species